rnacentral:rRNA from 1 species
CGAGCAACGCCGCGUGAACGAUGAAGUAUUUCGGUACGUAAAGUUCUUUUAUUAGGGAAGAAUAAAUGAUGGAAAAAUCAUUCUGACGGUACCUAAUGAAUAAGCCCCGGCUAACUAUGUGCCAGCAGCCGCGGUAAUACAUAGGGGGCAAGCGUUAUCCGGAAUUAUUGGGCGUAAAGGGUGCGUAGGCGGUUAAAUAAGUUUAUGGUCUAAGUGCAAUGCUCAACAUUGUGAUGCUAUAAAAACUGUUUAGCUAGAGUAAGAUAGAGGCAAGUGGAAUUCCAUGUGUAGUGGUAAAAUGCGUAAAUAUAUGGAGGAACACCAGUAGCGAAGGCGGCUUGCUGGGUCUUUACUGACGCUGAGGCACGAAAGCGUGGGGAGCAAACAGGAUUAGAUACCCUGGUAGUCCACGCCGUAAACGAUGAGUACUAAACGUUGGGUAAAACCAGUGUUGAAGUUAACACAUUAAGUACUCCGCCUGAGUAGUACGUACGCAAGUAUGAAACUUAAAGGAAUUGACGGGACUCCGCACAAGCGGUGGAUCAUGUUGUUUAAUUCGAAGGUACCCGAAAAACCUCACCAGGUCUUGACAUGCUUCUGCAAAGCUGUAGAAACACAGUGGAGGUUAUCAGUUGCACAGGUGGUGCAUGGUUGUCGUCAGCUCGUGUCGUGAGAUGUUGGGUUAAGUCCCGCAACGAGCGCAACCCUUAUUGUUAGUUACCAGCACGUAAUGGUGGGGACUUUAGCAAGACUGCCAGUGAUGAAUUGGAGGAAGGUGGGGACGACGUCAAAUCAUCAUGCCCCUUAUGACCUGGGCUACAAACGUGAUACAAUGG